CCUACGGGAGGCAGCAGUGGGGAAUAUUGGACAAUGGGCGAAAGCCUGAUCCAGCCAUGCCGCGUGUGUGAAGAAGGCCUUCGGGUUGUAAAGCACUUUCAGUGGGGAAGAAAGCCUUGGGGCUAAUACCCUCGAGGAAGGACAUCACCCACAGAAGAAGCACCGGCUAACUCCGUGCCAGCAGCCGCGGUAAUACGGAGGGUGCGAGCGUUAAUCGGAAUUACUGGGCGUAAAGCGCGCGUAGGCGGUCUGAUAAGCCGGUUGUGAAAGCCCCGGGCUCAACCUGGGAACGGCAUCCGGAACUGUCAGGCUAGAGUGCAGGAGAGGAAGGUAGAACUCCCGGUGUAGCGGUGAAAUGCGUAGAGAUCGGGAGGAAUACCAGUGGCGAAGGCGGCCUUCUGGACUGACACUGACGCUGAGGUGCGAAAGCGUGGGUAGCAAACAGGAUUAGAUACCCGGGUAGUC
rnacentral:rRNA from 1 species